rnacentral:rRNA from 1 species
CCUACGGGAGUCUGCAGUCGAGAAUCAUUCACAAUGGGGGAAACCCUGAUGGUGCGACGCCGCGUGGGGGAAUGAAGGUCUUCGGAUUGUAAACCCCUGUCAUGUGGGAGCAAAUUAAAAAGAUAGUACCACAAGAGGAAGAGACGGCUAACUCUGUGCCAGCAGCCGCGGUAAUACAGAGGUCUCAAGCGUUGUUCGGAAUCACUGGGCGUAAAGCGUGCGUAGGCUGUUUCGUAAGUCGUGUGUGAAAGGCGCGGGCUCAACCCGCGGACGGCACAUGAUACUGCGAGACUAGAGUAAUGGAGGGGGAACCGGAAUUCUCGGUGUAGCAGUGAAAUGCGGAGAUAUCGAGAGGAACACUCGGGGCGAAGGCGGGUUCCUGGACAUUAACUGACGCUGAGGCACGAAGGCCAGGGGAGCGAAAGGGAUUAGAUACCCCGGUAGUC